UCCACAGUGGCGCAAUUGGGUAGCGCACGGUACUUAUAAGAAAGUGCUUGUGAGCAAUGCCGGGGUUGUGAGUUCGAGCCUCACUUGGGGAA
rnacentral:tRNA from 2 species